AACGAACGCUGGCGGCAGGCCUAACACAUGCAAGUCGAACGGACGUAGCAAUACGUUAGUGGCGCACGGGAGAGUAACGCGUGGGAACCUACCUUUUGGUUCGGGAUAACAUCGGGAAACUGGUGCUAAUACCGGAUAAGCCCUUCGGGGGAAAGAUUUAUUGCCGAAAGAUGGGCCCGCGUUGGAUUAGCUAGUUGGUGAGGUAAUGGCUCACCAAGGCAACGAUCCAUAGCUGGUCUGAGAGGAUGAUCAGCCUCACUGGGACUGAGACACGGCCCAGACUCCUACGGGAGGCAGCAGUGGGGAAUAUUGGACAAUGGGGGAAACCCUGAUCCAGCCAUGCCGCGUGAAUGAUGAAGGCCUUCGGGUUGUAAAGUUCUUUUGGUGGGGACGAUGAUGACGGUACCCACAGAAUAAGCUCCGGCUAACUUCGUGCCAGCAGCCGCCGUAA
rnacentral:rRNA from 1 species